GUUUUGAUGAACUUUUAUUUUCGAAAAAAAGAAAAAAAAGAAAAGAAAGAGAGACCAAGACGACGAGCGCUGUUGGAGCUGCCUGACCCUGGGCACGCGCAGGCGUCCCGCCGCCGGGGAGCUGGUCAAGCCUGCAGCGCCGUGCCGGAGGGGGCCGGGAAGAGCCUGGAGAAGACUGAGCUGCCACCGCCGUUUUCCAGGGAAGGGCUAAGCCCUCUGGUGAGGCUCUGGGCUGAAGCGAGCGCUGGGGGAGAUGCAGGAGGCCCCUGCCUGGUGGAAGAUGUUCCUUUUCCCUUCCUGCCCGCCGGUGACGUUAUGCAGUGCCACUCUGUUUGCAGCGCGCCCUUCAGGCGAGCGCUGUGUUUUGCUGGGCUGAGCAGCUCAAGAAAAUAGAAAUCCAGGAGCACCAGGCGAGGUGCCUCCUGCCCGGGCCACGCUGCGCCGAGGGCGCCCGGGGCGUCGCAGGCAGUGACAUACCUUUUCCUUGUUCGAAGGACAACCCUUGAAACACCACCGGAGAACACCACUGUGAGUCAGAGCCUUCUUUCAUCCUGCCCCUGAAAACCACGGCGUAUGUUUCAAAAUCACUUUUUGCAAAAUAAAGACCAUCGCGCUGAAACCGGCGCGGGGAGA
rnacentral:lncRNA from 1 species